AUUGAACGCUGGCGGCAGGCCUAACACAUGCAAGUCGAGCGGAGCGGCGGACGGGUGAGUAAUGCCUAGGAAUCUGCCUGGUAGUGGGGGAUAACGUCCGGAAACGGGCGCUAAUACCGCAUACUCUCAGAUGAGCCUAGGUCGGAUUAGCUAGUUGGUUGGGUAAAGGCCUACCAAGGCGACGAUCCGUCACUGGUCUGAGAGGAUGAUCAGUCACACUGUAACAGAGACACGGUCCAGACUCCGACGGUAGGCAGCAGGGGGGAAUAAUGGACAAUGGGCGAAAGCCUGAUCCAGCCAUGCCGAGUGUGUGAAGAAGGUCGUCGGAUUGUAAAGCACUUUAAGUUGUGAGGCGUUACCAACAGAAUAAGCACCGGCUAACUGCGUGCCAGCAGCCGCGGUAAUUC
rnacentral:rRNA from 1 species